rnacentral:rRNA from 1 species
GUGAGGAAUAUUGGUCAAUGGGCGCAAGCCUGAACCAGCCAUCCCGCGUGCAGGAAGACGGCCCUAUGGGUUGUAAACUGCUUUUUCAGGGGAAGAAAACCCGCGACGUGUCGCGGCUUGCCGGUACCCUGGGAAUAAGCAUCGGCUAACUCCGUGCCAGCAGCCGCGGUAAUACGGAGGAUGCGAGCGUUAUCCGGAUUUAUUGGGUUUAAAGGGUGCGUAGGCGGAUUAAUAAGUCAGUGGUGAAAACCUGCAGCUUAACUGUAGACCUGCCGUUGAUACUGUUAGUCUUGAGUAUGGUCAAGGUAGGCGGAAUGUGUAAUGUAGCGGUGAAAUGCUUAGAUAUUACACAGAACACCGAUUGCGAAGGCAGCUUACUGGGCCAAAACUGACGCUGAUGCACGAAAGCGUGGGGAGCGAACAGGAUUAGAAACCCGGGUAGUCC